rnacentral:rRNA from 1 species
AUUGAACGCUGGCGGCACGCCUAACACAUGCAAGUCGAGCGGCAGCACAAUAUGUAGCAAUACAUAUGGGUGGCGAGCGGCGGACGGGUGAGUAAUGCACAGGAAUCUACCUUGAAGUGGGGGAUAACCCGGGGAAACUCGGGCUAAUUCCGCAUAAUAUCUACGGAUUAAAGUGGGGGACCGUAAGGCCUCACGCUUCUAGAUGAGCCUGUGUCCGAUUAGCUAGUUGGUGGGGUAAUGGCCUACCAAGGCUACGAUCGGUAGCUGGUCUGGAAGGACGGACAGCCACACUGGGACUGAGACACGGCCCAGACUCCUACGGGAGGCAGCAGUGGGGAAUAUUGGACAAUGGGGGCAACCCUGAUCCAGCGAUGCCGCGUGUGUGAAGAAGGCCUGCGGGUUGUAAAGCACUUUAAGUGGGAAAGAGUGGUAGAUAAAUUAAUAACUUAUUUACUUGACGUUACCCAAAGAAUAAGCACCGGCUAACUCUGUGCCAGCCGCCGCAGUAA